UCGAUGCUCCAUAGAUUCAAAAAUCCAUUUUAGCACCUUCUACAUUCCCUACCUGAAUCAACCUUGAAAUCAUACUGUUGUACGAAAACAAAUCACGAGGCGGCAUUUCAAUGUACAAACACACAGCUUUUUCAACAUUCCGAUUUUGAAAAUACCCUCAGAUCAUUGCAUUCCAUGUGAUAAAUUUCGUCAUAGAUUUGAAUACUCAACGCUAAACUAAGAACAUAUUCAAACAGUUCAUAUUUCUUCAAGUUUCAAGAGAUUCUACCGGAAAAACUCAACACAGACACAAUCGGACACAAUUUUAUACUCUUCCGGAAAAAUUCAACACAGAGAUGAACACAAAGUAAACUUCCAUGAAAUUCAAUUCUUUACGGAGUCAAUCACAUAAGAAUAACACCUGAAACAGAGGGAGAAGAAAGGAUAAACCUCGAUUAAUCUAAAAUUUAAUUGACUUACAAUCUGAAAAUGCUAAUCGACGGAACGAACAGGACCGCGAACAAGAUCUAAGCCAGAAAAUCUCGCCGGAAUCUCGAACGGAACUGAACAGACCCAACGAAUAGAGCCAGCGACCUGAACAGGCUUAAAUGGGACUCGAUCUCAAUAGAAACGUUACUCUAAAUGGAACGACGAACUUGAAAUUCAGUCGACCCCCAAACGAACUCUCCACGAGCUUUAAACGAACUCCAUUGAAGAAACAAACUUCCGUCGCCAGUUUCCGGCGAGUUGAAGAAGAAAAAGGGGUCAGCUUGAAAUAAAGGGGGUCUGAUUGUUGAUGGAGUGUAGAAGCAGAUGGGUUUUUGUUUUUCUGUGAGAUGGGGUGUGUGAGGAAGAUGAUGAUCUUUAGGGGGUGGGUCUCUUUUUUGCGCAGCUUUUCAGCUUUUUUU
rnacentral:lncRNA from 1 species